rnacentral:rRNA from 1 species
GACGAACGCUGGCGGCGUGCUUAACACAUGCAAGUCGAACGGAAAGGCCCUGCUUUUGUGGGGUGCUCGAGUGGCGAAAGGGUGAGUAACACGUGAGUAACCUGCCCUUGACUUUGGGAUAACUUCAGGAAACUGGGGCUAAUACCGGAUAGGAGCUCCUGCUGCAUGGUGGGGGUUGGAAAGUUUCGGCGGUUGGGGAUGGACUCGCGGCUUAUCAGCUUGUUGGUGGGGUAGUGGCUUACCAAGGCUUUGACGGGUAGCCGGCCUGAGAGGGUGACCGGCAACAUUGGGACUGAGAUACGGCCCAGACUCCUACGGGAGGCAGCAGUGGGGAUUAUUGCACAAUGGGCGGAAGCCUGAUGCAGCAACGCCGCGUGCGGGAUGACGGCCUUCGGGUUGUAAACCGCUUUCGCCUGUGACGAAGCGUGAGUGACGGUAAUGGGUAAAGAAGCACCGGCUAACUACGUG